rnacentral:snRNA from 1 species
GGCAUUGGUGGUUGGCACUCCUGGAUUCCAGGAUGGGGUUCAAGUCCCUGCGAUGCC